rnacentral:ncRNA from 1 species
GCCGCGCGGGCCGCCUUGAAUUACAAUUUCCACCGGGCGGCGGACUGAAUCCUUUGCAGACGACUUAAAUACGCGACGGGGUAUUGUAAGUGGCAGAGUGGCCUUGCUGCCACGAUCCACUGAGAUUCAGCCCUUCGUCGCUCCGAUUCGU